CCUACGGGAGGCAGCAGUGAGGAAUAUUGGUCAAUGGUCGUGCGCCUGAACCAGCCAAGUCGCGUGAAGGAGGACUGCCCUAUGUGUUGUAAACCUCUUUUGUCAGGGAACAAAGCCUGGUACGUGUCCCCUGCCGUAUGUACCCUACGAACAAGGAUCGGCCAACCCCGUGCCAGCCGCCGCGGUAAUUCGGAGGAUUCGAGCGUUAAUCGGAUUUGUUGGGUUUGAAAGGUGCGUGGGGGGGCAUGUAAGUCCGGUGGUAAAAGCGGGGGGCCAACCCUCGACCUGCCGUUGAAACUGGCAGCCUUGAGUGGGGGAGAAGUAGGCGGAAUGCGUGGUGUAGCGGUGAAAUGCAUAGAUAUCACGAAGAACUCCGAUUGCGAAGGCAGCAUACUGGAUCCACACUGACGCUGAAGCACGAAAGCGUGGGUAUCGAACAGGAUUAGAUACCCGGGUAGUC
rnacentral:rRNA from 1 species